AUUUGAGUGGCUUGCUCGGCACCACAGUGUUGCGGGGAAACGUGUAGUAGGUGAUAGACUGUCUUCAGUCCUCUGCCACAUGGGGGUGUUGGAGUCCUAUAUUCAAACCUCAGGUAGGUAUUAGGGCUUUUUCAUGGGGGAGAUGUUAGUGGUGGAGAUAAGUGUAGGUUUCUCGGCAGGCAAAACUGCCUCCACUUGGGCAUUGCUUUUGAAAAUAGCUUUAGUCCCAGUGUGCAGUCUUGCCCCGCCCCUCACAGCUCCUGUUACAGCCUCACGCUGCCCUGUGUCAUUUUGCUCUUACUUCCAUGAGAGGGCAGUAGGAUGGUAAGAAUGCAGCCCAGGCUCCCACCGCGGCCUUCCAGCCCAAACCCAUCGCUAGUCUGUUACUAAAAGGGAAAGGUUCACAGAACCCACACCAGGGCUUUCCUUCAGGCCCGGGGAGGCAGAGGGUGGUGAGCAGGCGGUAUGUGGUCAUGUGGUGCUGAUGAAAAGCCAUCAGCUAUCAAAGGAGAGGGAGGGAGCCUUGGCUUAGAAAUCACAGGAUGAUGUCAGUGUGAUUGGAAAGUGCUAACUGUACCCGGGGAGCUGUGCAAAGAACUGAGACCCAAUGAAUGGGCACCAGACCUGGAAAAUAAGCCUGACCUGUCAAGGCAACCUCUCCGAUCCCCUGUUAUUCUCCUCCUGACCUGUGUGGCUCAUUGGAGCCCGUACCUCGGGGCUCUGGGCAGGUGAGGGGGUGGGACCGUAUCCUGGGGAGCGUCAUGACUUUUGAAAAGUGUUAGCUAUUCAUGAGCUGGUUCUGACAGUCACUGCUCUUCACCCCUUCCUUGCGCAGAUGGUGAAGUCUUGAAAUACGCUGUGAGAUGCAAAAGGGACCUGGGACUGUGGCAGGGAAGGUUGGGAGUUUGAGCAUGAGAGACAUGGAGUAGAGCUGUGCACCCACAAAGCCCGGAGCAGGAGCCUGUACCCAGGUGCCUGGAGUUUGCAUACAGCUGGGGGCUUCAGGUCCUAGGCCUGGUGAUGUGCCAAGGAGCAGGGGCUGGGUGAACAGGGACAACAUAGAGUCAGGUGAGGUAAUAGCUUUCCUGCAUCCUUUUGUAGAUGAUAGACAACCAGUGUUUAACUUCCCCUGCCUUCUCCACCCAUUUCUGGCCAUCCUAGUGAUGUAGUCAGUAGAUGUGGAUACAGGGCAAGGCCGUUUAUUUUAUCUUAUUAAGGCCAUUUACUUUAGUGAUUGCCCUAUUUCAGCAAUUUUACGUUUCAGUAGGCAGACUGAGAUCAUCCAGUCACGUGGAAAUCUUCCUUUUGGGGGAGGAAGGGAUGCUGAAGGUGAUAAGCUGGGGCCUUCUGCCUUAAGCACACACCCUACCUGUGCGCUGUGCUCCAAGCGGCAAGCCAUCCUUUGAAGGGUUUAAGUUUGAGAAUUGCCUAGAUGAAGCUCAAGAUUCUUGUAGACGUGUUCUCUCCAGUGUGAGUAUGGGAACCUAGGGCAGAUGGCUCAAUGGUUAAAAAUCACUUGCUGUUUUUCCCAAGGACCACUGGGGGUUGGUUCCCAGAACCCACAUCAGCAACCGCACAAGCUCACAACUGCUUGUAAUUCCAGCAGAUCUUAUGCCCUCUUCUGGCCCCCCUAGGUACUUAUACACACAGGUCACACACAGACAGGCACACAUGAAUAAAACCAAUUUAAAAAAAAGACGUAUGUUUUUAAGG
rnacentral:lncRNA from 1 species